GACGAACGCUGGCGGCGUGCCUAAUACAUGCAAGUAGAACGCUGAAGAGAGGAGCUUGCUCUUCUUGGAUGAGUUGCGAACGGGUGAGUAACGCGUAGGUAACCUGCCUUGUAGCGGGGGAUAACUAUUGGAAACGAUAGCUAAUACCGCAUAACAAUAGGUGACACAUGUCAUUUAUUUGAAAGGGGCAAUUGCUCCACUACAAGAUGGACCUGCGUUGUAUUAGCUAGUAGGUGAGGUAACGGCUCACCUAGGCGACGAUACAUAGCCGACCUGAGAGGGUGAUCGGCCACACUGGGACUGAGACACGGCCCAGACUCCUACGGGAGGCAGCAGUAGGGAAUCUUCGGCAAUGGGGGCAACCCUGACCGAGCAACGCCGCGUGAGUGAAGAAGGUUUUCGGAUCGUAAAGCUCUGUUGUAAGUCAAGAACG
rnacentral:rRNA from 1 species